AUGAAGCGCUUCCACCACGACGGGGCACGGUUGAGGAAGGUGACCGAUGCUGUCAGCGUUCCUCCAUGGCUGUCUCUGGCCUCCCUCGUUGGAGAGCAGGGUGCUGCAGCUGGGAUAGACCCACUGAGAUCAAGUUAUGGAGAGGGGGAAAUCGCAUCUGGAGCAAAACCAAGUGCAAACAUGGGUAAGAAAAAAGUGAUGGAUUCCUAUCUCAUGCCCAACCGCUUGAGUUUUUCAGUUGUGUACAAAACAGGAUUGUUGGUGUGUUUCUCAGCAGCAGUGGAUCAUCUUGACAGUGCAGGAGACAGGGACAGAGGUCUUCAGGAAGUUCAUGGGGUGAGAGGGGCCAGGGAGAGAGCUGUAGUACACAGUGGGACAGAAUAUGGACAGAUUCAAGUGAUGAUGCAACAGAGAAGCCCCAAGUGUUUUUUACACUGGCACUAUGCCCGUCUUAUUUGAAACUUUUUCCCGGCAUUGGCGUUUUUGCACUUGUAAACAGUUAAUGGGGUUUGUAGCCUACAUUCAGACGCAGUCUACUCAUUCUUGCGUGCGAGUGGCUUAAAUAAAAUUAAAACAUUCCGAGUAUGCAAAUUAUUCUAAAGAUGUCUACGUGCGUAGCCCCGCCUGCUCCAAUGAACAAGAAAGCCGGCUCUUUGAAGGCUUUACACAGGCAGGACAGUGAAACUAACAUCUGCCAAGCAGCGACCGUACCUGCUUGGCAGUGUAAAAAUGCUUAGGGUUAGGGUUAGGUUCUCUGACAAAUGAAUCCUGUUUCUCUACAGAAGGAUCACAGCAACCAGAGCACCUACCGUCUGUCGGGGAUGGUCUCUCACCUCGGGGAGAGCAUCAACACCGGUAACUAAAGCUUUUAUAGUAAAGAAUGUACAUCUGUACCUGACACACGCGUCAGACACUAGACCCGUCCCACGCUGGGGGACAGUAAGGUAAUGGAUGUCUUGUGUCCCCCAGGCCACUACGUCAGUGACGUAGCUCGAGAGGACGGCGCCGGAUGGUUGACCCUCAACGACGCCCGUGUGACGCCCGCGGAGACGCCGGUCCUGAGGACCAGAGAGAAGACCGCCUACAUGUUGUUUUACGUCCUAAGGUGAUACUUUAAACGUUACUCUCUACAACAGCCAAUGCUUCUUUUAGACUCAGACUGUUUUACUCACUGAACUUACUGAAACACUGACUCCUGCUCGUCUUCUUCCACCAGUGGAGCAGAAGAGGGAAGCCAUGUCCCACUGGCUCAGAACCAGGAGCCAUCUGGAGCUGAGAGGGACUGACACCUGUGAGGCCCAGGAGAGCGCUUGAUUGGUGGCAGAGUUCCCGUUGUCCGGUAAUUACCGGUCUUUGACCGGAAAAAAAUGAGGAGGACCGAAAAUCCUAAAUGUCUCCGGUCAGAAUGACCGAUUGGAAAUAAGGCCCCGUCCACACGGAGCCGAAACGGGCGAAAACGAUCCGGUUUCGUUUUAUGCUUAAUGUUCAAGGUGCUGGUUCUCCACAGAAAAAAGUGGAGCGCAUCAACCCUGCGCUCAUACAGCAUGCGCGCUGUAUACAAACAUUCAGUCACGAGGAGAUUCAACCAUUGAGCAGAACAAAAUUGAGCAGGUCCUAUGUUCCCGGUUUUCCCCAAAAAGGGUCCUAUGUUCCCCUGUAGCCAUACAUACCGGGGAACAUAGGACCCUUUUCCCAGAAAAGGGUCCUAUGUUCCCCGCAAUCUAUCAAUCUUUAAAAAUAUUUAAACUUUGACGCGGCAUUCGCGUAAUGACAGCCAAUCGUCGUUCAACAGAGUGACAUGUCUAACGUAACAGCCAAUCAGCGUUCAACCGGCCAACUCAGUGCAGUGCAGUCCGGGGUGAACUGCAGCAAGGAGGAGAAAGUGAUUGUUGCCGUUUGCGACUCCCGGAGCUCUUUAUAUAAUAGUAUAUAAUAUAAUUGUAUAAUAAUAUCACGGCCAAAAGCUCUGUGCGCCUCCGGAUGGCCGUAACGCGGGAAGCUCUCGUGGGGAUUGGGCUUCUCGGGGUUUGUUUACCGGCGUAUGAAUAUACUGCGUCAGGUUCUCCGACGUCUCUCCCUCUUCCACAAAAGGUAAAGACAUGCAAUGGUAGUUAUCUCGGCCGGAAUUUGGCAGUAAUGGUGGAAAAAGUAACAGACCGGGGAACAUAGAACCCCUUUUUAAAAAAAGGGUCCUAUGUUCCCCGGUCACAUACAUAUCGGGGAACAUAGGACCCUUUUUUGGGAAAAGCAGGGAACAUAGGACCCUUUUUGAAAAAAAGGGUCCUAUGUUCCCCAGUCUCAUACAAAGAGGGGAACAUAGGACUCGGGGAACAUAGACACGCUCCCCUAUAGACUACCGUAGGUUUAUGAACUAAACGGCGGCAAGCUAGCGAAAGCCGGCGGCAAGCUUUGCGGAGUACCGGUAUUUAACAACAAUGGCGAAUCAAAAUAUGAUCACACACUUCUUCUUUAUAUAGCCUGCCUAUCAUUUUUUUUAAGUGCAAUAAACACGGACAAUAUCCGACCGUUUUUUUCCCAAUUUGACCGGUAAAAUUAAACCUUCCCGGUCACAUGACCGGCACCAAUUUCUUCUAGCGGAAACACUGAUUGGUGGUGCCUCUACAGCCCGCUCUGGGGGCCACACCCUGCAGCCCCCCUCUACAGCUGAGGCCCACCUUUAAACGCCCCCCUAGGGGCCACACCCUGAAGCCCCCCUCUACAUCCCCCCCUAGGGGCCACACCCUGAAGCCCCCCUCUACAUCCCCCCUAGGGGCCACACCCUGAAGCCCCCCUCUACAUCCCCCCUAGGGGCCACACCCUGAUGCCCCCCUCUAGGGGACCUGAGGCCCCUCUCUACACCCCCCUCUGGGGGCCACACCCUGCGUCCCCCUUCUACAGCCCCCUCUAGGGGCUAACCAACCCCCUCUACACCCCCCUCUCGGGGCCCUGCGGCCCACCUCUUUGGACUUUAAGGCUGAUCAUAAUGAGGAUCACUUUAUUUUUAUUUUGUAUCAUAAUAAUGAGGAGCAUAUUCAUAUUAUGUAUAAUAAUAAUGCUGAGGAUCAUCUUAUUAUGAAUAAUAAUGUCAUUAUGUGAUCCUUUUUAUUAUUAUGCAUGUAUAAUAAUAAUAAUGAGGAUAACAUUAUUAUGUACAAUAAUAAUGCUGAGGAUCAAAUUAUGUGUAUAAUAAUAAUAUGAUAAUUAUGUAUAAUAUAUAAUAUAAUAGCACUAUAUAUAAUGUAACUAUAAAAAUAAGAUCCCUGUGGAACUAAUAUAUGAUUAUUGAGCUCUGGUUUUCAUUCAAUUUCGUUUAAAUAAAUGUGUUUAUUGUAUAAAUAGUAAAAUAACAAUUAAAAUGUUCAUGAUAUUAAUAAUUUCAAUCAAAUCAAUAAUAAGAUAUCACCAGAGUAUAUAAUAAUAAUAUAUGUCAUCAAUAACCCCACACAUAAAACAGUCAGACACCAUUUCAACCUUCAAGUCACAACAACGUCUAACUGUUCACUGUUUUUAUUUUUUUAUUUCUUAUUGCUUAUGUUUAUUUAUUUAUUUAUUUAUUUAUUUUUUCCACAAUGUCUUGCUUUUUAAAAAAUGUAUGAUGACUAUAUGCUCUGUAAGGUGACCUUGGGUGUCUUGAAAGGCGCCUCUAAAUUAAAUGUAUUAUUAUUAUUAUUAUAAAUGCGUUU
ensembl:lncRNA